rnacentral:rRNA from 1 species
ACGGGUGAGUAAUAUAUCGGAACGUGCCCAGUUGUGGGGGAUAACUGCUCGAAAGAGCAGCUAAUACCGCAUACGACCUGAGGGUGAAAGCGGGGGAUCGCAAGACCUCGCGCAAUUGGAGCGGCCGAUAUCAGAUUAGGUAGUUGGUGGGGUAAAGGCCUACCAAGCCUACGAUCUGUAGCUGGUCUGAGAGGACGACCAGCCACACUGGGACUGAGACACGGCCCAGACUCCUACGGGAGGCAGCAGUGGGGAAUUUUGGACAAUGGGGGCAACCCUGAUCCAGCCAUGCCGCGUGCGGGAAGAAGGCCUUCGGGUUGUAAACCGCUUUUGUCAGGGAAGAAAAGACUCCUACUAAUACUGGGGGUUCAUGACGGUACCUGAAGAAUAAGCACCGGCUAACUACGUGCCAGCAGCCGCGGUAAUACGUAGGGUGCAAGCGUUAAUCGGAAUUACUGGGCGUAAAGCGUGCGCAGGCGGUUAUGCAAGACAGAUGUGAAAUCCCCGGGCUCAACCUGGGAACUGCAUUUGUGACUGCAUGGCUAGAGUACGGUAGAGGGGGAUGGAAUUCCGCGUGUAGCAGUGA